GACGAACGCUGGCGGCGUGCUUAACACAUGCAAGUCGAACGGAAAGGCCCUGCUUUUGUGGGGUGCUCGAGUGGCGAACGGGUGAGUAACACGUGAGUAACCUGCCCUUGACUUUGGGAUAACUUCAGGAAACUGGGGCUAAUACCGGAUAGGAGCUCCUGCUGCAUGGUGGGGGUUGGAAAGUUUCGGCGGUUGGGGAUGGACUCGCGGCUUAUCAGCUUGUUGGUGGGGUAGUGGCUUACCAAGGCUUUGACGGGUAGCCGGCCUGAGAGGGUGACCGGCCAAAUUGGGACUGAGAUACGGCCCAGACUCCUACGGGAGGCAGCAGUGGGGAAUAUUGCACAAUGGGCGGAAGCCUGAUGCAGCAACGCCGCGUGCGGGAUGACGGCCUUCGGGUUGUAAACCGCUUUCGCAUGUGACGAAGCGUGAGUGACGGUAAUGGGUAAAGAAGCACCGGCUAACUACGU
rnacentral:rRNA from 1 species